AACGCGAAGAACCUUACCAAGGCUUGACAUAUAGCGAAAAGUGGCAGAGAUGUCAUGUCCGCAAGGGCGCUAUACAGGUGGUGCAUGGUUGUCGUCAGCUCGUGUCGUGAGAUGUUGGGUUAAGUCCCGCAACGAGCGCAACCCUCGUUCUGUGUUGCCAGCAUUAAGUUGGGGACUCACAGGAGACUGCCGGGGUCAACUCGGAGGAAGGUGGGGAUGACGUCAAAUCAUCAUGCCCCUUAUGUCUUGGGCUGCACGCAUGCUACAAUGGCCGGUACAAAGUGCUGCGAAAUCGUAAGAUUUAGCGAAUCACAUAAAGCCGGUCUCAGUUCGGAUUGAGGUCUGCAACUCGACCUCAUGAAGUCGGAGUUGCUAGUAAUCGUAGAUCAGCAACGCUACGGUGAAUACGUUCCCGGGUCUUGUACACACCG
rnacentral:rRNA from 1 species